UACGUAGGGCGCAAGCGUUGUCCGGAAUUAUUGGGCGUAAAGCGUGCGUAGACGGUUAUGUAAGUCAGAUGUGAAAGCCCCGGGCUUAACCUGGGAAUGGCAUUUGAGACUGCAUAGCUAGGGUGCGGAAGAGGGAAGCGGAAUUUCCGGUGUAGCGGUGAAAUGCGCAGAUAUCAGGAAGAACACCCGUGGCUAAGGCGGCUCUCUAGUACGGUACUGACGCUGAGACGCGAAAGCGUGGGGAGCGAACAGG
rnacentral:rRNA from 1 species